AUGCUUCUGAACCAUGGCCGUGCACGCCAUGUGUUUGUGGAAAUGCCGGGAAGGGGCUGCCGGAUUGUAUCGAACCGGAAACCACCCACAUUUUGUUACCUACUCACAGCGCGCCACAUUGUGCUGCACUUGGAUGGAUUAAUUUUGCACUUUUCUCUAUAUAUCAAUAAUUUUGUUGAGUUGGUUGUUGAUGCUCUCUAUAUGCUUGAAGAAUUAGAUGCCACAGCCGGCUAUGGUGAUGCUGAAACAAAAGUAGAAUCACGUAGGUGUCCAGUUGCAUUCAAAUUUCGUGGACUGCAUUUGAAUGCCAUACGUGUACCUGGAGUUAUAUGGACUGAUGGUGACUGA
rnacentral:rRNA from 1 species